UUUGCAUCAGAUGGAGGCCUGAGGCAGGGGGUGGAAAAUGGGAUCUCCUUAUGAAGAGCCCUCUGCCUCUUGGGUUCAUCUCCCCACCCCAGCAAAGAACGCAAGGAGUGAAGUAAGGCUUUCUGAGAACUGAAGAUCCCUCUAGCACACAAUGAGGAACUCAGAAAAUGAAAGUAAAGCAAAGAAGAGGCUUUAGUUAUAAUAUCGCACAGGAGGAGGAACUGCCAAACAGGGAACUAUGUGGCAGGGGCAAACUCAAGGAGGAGCAUCAAAAGGAUCUGAGGAAAUCUUAGCCAGCAACAAAAACUGUCUCUUGAAAUCAGAUUUCUCUAGAACCUAGAACAGCUGCGUAGGACAGUGGGGAGCCUGCACAGGAGAAGCAAGAGGGAAGUUGGCUACAUUUGGUGAAAUGCUGCUAAAAUCGUCCAGAGCUUGUAGAGCCCAUUGAAAUUUACAGGAACUCAAAAAACUCUAAUAAGGCUCUUGAAAACCAAGGAGAAUAAUAGAAUGGACAGAGUUGAAAGUGAACUUCCAAGAGGCAGAAAUAUUUUAACUGUCUUAUUGUCCCAGACAAGGAACCAAUAGCAUCAAUAGCGAGUGCUCUAGUACAGGCUGAGAAGACACACAAAGGCCGAAAGAGUUACUGCUGUGUUUUUUCUGCUCGAGUCUACAAAUUAAGAAGGUCAUUAGCAGACAGUUAGCAUCCAGCAAGGAGUUCUUCAGCACCUGUCACAAGAGCAUCUUCAUCCACAAGCUGUACUGUCAAUGUCAAGGUGACAGAUUACAUAAAUCAGACUGGUCCAAAAUAAUUAGAGCAAAGCCAGGAACACAGUGCAUGCCGGCCCAAUCACCGGAACACUCAGCCACUGCGAGCUGUGAAGAAAGAAUUACGGAGCUGCAAAUGAGACUUCUGCAUCAAAAACAGGACAGCACAGCAGCAGCACUGGAAGUUGAACUCCAGUUCUGACGUUAAAAAAAAAAAAAAAAAAAAAAAACCUAGCCAUAAAAUCAGGCAGCUAUUCUCCCAUAAUGAAAGAAAAAUACAGGCAAAUGCAGCAGCAGAAGAAAGCAAUUAAAUGGUAUGCUUCAGGACAGCCAUCAAGGCCAUUAAUAGCAAUUCAUGUGUUUUGUGUGUAGUAUUAUGUACAAGAUAUUGCAAUUUCUAUAUAGUAAAAUGAUCUAUUUUUCACUUCAUUAAUCGGAAAACAUGAUCAUUGUGUGGGAAAAAAAAGAAGUGUCCUCAUUUUACAUGGCAACCAAGAUGUAACUGCAUCUCCUCGAGACUUUAUCGCAGUUAAAAGACACACCGCAGCCCAUUAGCCCAUAGACUGUGGAUUAUUAUAAUAAAUACUUAAAACCACUUAUCAAAAUAAAAAUCCAAAGUAUGCUGUGCUAUGCAGUGGGCCUGAUUUUUUAAUCAGAGUCUCCCACUUGCUAAUUGGAAGUACUCAGAACUCCAAAUGACUCAUCUUAUCGUUGGUGAGAAUUAAAAAGGUUUUACACUGGAGAUGCUUUAACACUUUUUCCAACUAGGUCACCCUCAUUAAACUAGCUUUGAAGCUUCUAUUGCAGUUUCCUUCCUAUAUGUCAGUUCAAGAAAGGGGUUUGUAGACACAAGAAAUCUGGGCCCUGCAGCUGGUGGGUGACCCACCACAUUGGUUACCACAGAAUAUGGGCAGCAUACACAGAGCUCACUUGCCAAAGGGAAGAAAAUCAGUUUACUCCAGGAGAUUAUUAAGGCUGUUUGAUUUUAUUUAUUUUACAAUCUACUACACUCCCGCCUGACAAACAAGCUGGCUUAUUUUAUCUUUGUACAUGCUUAUUUAUAAAGGUGUGCUACACAGAUACCAGACAAAGAGGAUUGUCAAUAGAUGUGCUCAGGUUUCUGUUGUUUCGUUUUGCUGUUUUUAAAUUUUUGCUGGAAUGUUAAUGAGGUUGGAAAGCUACUGUGAUGUCCAGGACCGAAAACUGCAUUUUGUGCUGAGUUUUUUCGUUGAGUCUCACAUAACAAUAACAGACAAUGGCAAAUACACUCAGAGAGGGGAAAUGGACAGGAAGCCCUGGGAUAAGAACACAGAGAAGCCCAGGAAGCAGAAAUCCACUUAAGAAAAAGACAUUCACUUCCUUUUAGGGCAAAGGAAUAAACAUCAGUAACAUCCAAUAGUUAAGAGAGUCCACAGACUAGGUAAUCAAAGAAUGUAUCUGUUCUUCAAACACAGUGCCUUUUCCUGCCACUCUGGAUGCCCUCUGAGGCCACCAGCUGGCAAGGGCAGAGAUAAACACAUUAAAUCUAACUACUUUCUGCAAACAUUCUGUUUGAAGAUCCAAAGAAAAUCAUCCCAAAACCUCCUGGAAUCCGCCAUCUGCCAGGUCCUGUGACUGAGGGCAAAGGUAACUCACUCCGAAGGCUGAGAUAAUUAUUUCUCAAGGCUUAGUAAUUAGGACAGUUGUCUCAUUGUCAACCAAGCUCCCCUAACAUAGCUCACAUGAACCGACUCCAAAGGCUCUUCUCAGGACCCAAGAGAAGGUGCAGAAAUCGCUCGACAGCAUUUCCCUUUUUCCAAAUUUUGAAGGAUGAAAGACAAGGUCUUGACUUUUACGUAGAAAAUUCUACCCCCACAGCCAAGGGAACACAGCAAAUUGAAGAAACAAUGAAGACAAAACUGCUAGAUUCUGGCAGUGUUUCUGCUCUCCUAUUUGAGCAUGAAAUGGAUUUAAGUUCCUUCUGGUCCACAAGGCUACAUUCCAAAGCACCUCCCUAACAAUCGCUGACUUAUGAACACUCUUCCCCAUAGCGACACUUCCACAAAGAGCCCUGCAAUUAUUAAGAAAAGCAAAUGAAAGGAGAAGCAGUUGUUAUCCCAGCAGGAUGAAAAGACAGUUAGACGUUGUCAUCACAACGCUGGCUACAGUAUUGAAAAAUAUGUAACUAUCUGUUUGUGUGUGUGCUCUCUGAUUACACUGGUCUGUAAUUCAGUAUUGGCCUUGUGUGUUAGAUUUAAUUUUUUGCAUUGAUUCCAUAGGAGAUGUGUCUCAAAAGUCCCAAGAGAAGAAAAUUCCUUCACUGAGUUCUAAGUCAAUGUAAUAAAAGACUAUCACUGA